rfam:Pan troglodytes isolate Yerkes chimp pedigree #C0471 (Clint) chromosome 9, whole genome shotgun sequence.
CCUCAGCAACAGUGUUCUGGAAUCCUAUGUGAGGGACAAUCAUUCAGACCCUCAUAGCAGUGUUCUGGAAUUCUGUGUGAGGGA